rnacentral:rRNA from 1 species
CUCCUACGGGAGGCAGCAGUUGGGAAUAUUGCACAAUGGGCGCAACUGCAUGCAGCGACGCCGCGUGCGGGAUGGAGGCCUUCGGGUUGUAAACCGCUUUUGAUCGGGAGCAAGCCCUUCGGGGUGAGUGUACCCUUCGAAUAAGCACCGGCUAACUACGUGCCAGCAGCCGCAGUAAUACGUAGGGUGCAAGCGUUAUCCGGAAUUAUUGGGCGUAAAGGGCUCGUAGGCGGUUCGUCGCGUCCGGUGUGAAAGCCCAUCGCUUAACGGUGGGUCUGCGCCGGGUACGGGCGGGCUGGAGUGCGGUAGGGGAGACUGGAAUUCCCGGUGUAACGGUGGAAUGUGUAGAUAUCGGGAAGAACACCAAUGGCGAAGGCAGGUCUCUGGGCCGUCACUGACGCUGAGGAGCGAAAGCGUGGGGAGCGAACAGGAUUAGAUACCCUGGUAGUCCACGCCGUAAACGGUGGAUGCUGGAUGUGGGGCCCGUUCCACGGGUUCCGUGUCGGAGCUAACGCGUUAAGCAUCCCGCCUGGGGAGUACGGCCGCAAGGCUAAAACUCAAAGAAAUUGACGGGGGCCCGCACAAGCGGCGGAGCAUGCGGAUUAAUUCGAUGCAACGCGAAGAACCUUACCUGGGCUUGACAUGUUCCCGACCGAUCCGGAGACGGGUCUUCCCUUCGGGGCGGGUUCACAGGUGGUGCAUGGUCGUCGUCAGCUCGUGUCGUGAGAUGUUGGGUUAAGUCCCGCAACGAGCGCAACCCUCGCCCUGUGUUGCCAGCACGUCAUGGUGGGAACUCACGGGGGACCGCCGGGGUCAACUCGGAGGAAGGUGGGGAUGACGUCAGAUCAUCAUGCCCCUUACGUCCAGGGCUUCACGCAUGCUACAAUGGCCGGUACAGCGGGAUGCGACAUGGCGACAUGGAGCGGAUCCCUGAAAACCGGUCUCAGUUCGGAUUGGAGUCUGCAACCCGACUCCAUGAAGGCGGAGUCGCUAGUAAUCGCGGAUCAGCAACGCCGCGGUGAAUGCGUUCCCGGGCCUUGUACACACCGC